ACAGAGCAGUUUAUCUCACAAACAGCCUGAGCAGCUUGGGAGAGGUUCCUCACAGCCUGCUCUGCCUGCCUCAGUGAUGAGCAGCUACAGGAGGAGCUGAUCUGCAGCACCAGCCUGAGGAUGGUAGAAGGCUGGUGUGGUCUUCUGGUGCAUAUCUAAUUUCAGGAGGGAGCUUCAGUGCCCAGGAUCAUCGGACCAGAACACGUAUUUCUGCACGUCAGCCAUUGUUUACUUCACAAGCAAGUCUCAGAGCUGCUUACCAGGACCUGGUUGUAUAACAGCUCUCAUCUCCAGUUUGCCAAAGUUCCUGCAAACACCUGCUUAAUGUCGUUAGCAGAGAACACAGGAGAAUCUGCAAAGUAUCUGACAAAGUGUAAACCUUUGGGGGGCCUGAGCUGUUACCACCUGCAGCCAUCAAAUUCUGCCUUGGUGCUCUGGCUGUGUGCUGCUGUCCAUGUGUGGGAGUUGGAAACAAAAGUAGCAGUCAGCUCUUACUCUUACACAAGUAAUCCUGGUACAUUUAGCCAUAUUUUGUCAGCCUGGCCCCUUCACACUCUGUGCAUUCUUAGACCUGACCCCAAGGAAGGGGAGGUGAAAGGAAAAGACAUUGUACAGAACCUACACAAGCUUGCCAAUUAAGCGAACACCUCAUGCCUCUUUUCUCUUUGGUGCUAGAGAAAAUAAAAUCCGGAAAGAACUUCAGUGUCUGACCAUUCUGUACCUGUGACAGAGGCAAAUUCUACUUCACUGCUUUCUUUAUAGAAGCUCAAGAUCAUCUUUGGAUGUGUUUGAACUAUUUUGCUUGGGAAGAAGCCUCACCAUCCAGGCACGGCAUAGGAAUGGGAGCAGAGUAAAUUGCUCGGAUGCUGCUGCUGCCUGACUGCAUAUCGAGGGAUCUGUGAGGAGCUGCAGGAAGGGUAGAAGCACUCCCUUUAUCAGCUUCGGGUAAGAUAAGAGUGGAGCCAACAGAAGUGCUGGUCCUGAGCAUUUCAAUCAAGCCCUGUGUACACAGGAGAUGGCUAAACAUUAAUUAGGGGUCUUCAGCUGUGAGUUCUGACAGCAGAUCAAGUAGCCUCUACGGCUUCAGGAUCAACAGAUGCCUAAGGACUGGAACAUUGGAAAAAUCAGAAGCAAGGAUGAAGAAAACGUGAAUGUCUUUAGCUUUCUGAGAACUGUUCUGAAAGACCCUUCUGGAUUAGCUCAACUAUAGUCAGUGCAGCCAAGAUAUCUGCUGACUAGAAAGCUUUAGGUUCCAAAAUUCCAUCUUAGGGUUAGGACUAGAUCUCUAACCACACUGAGCAGUGUUAAAUCAGUUAUGCAGAACAUUAUGGAAAAUAAUGAAAAGCAAUGAACACCUCCCCCCCACCGGGGCAUUUAUUGAAAUAUUGGAAAUAUAGAAUUUUAUGAACAAAACCUCUCAGUCAGGGUGACACAGAGUUUUCUGAGGAAAGGGCAGACCCUAGGCAAUCUAGACUGGGACCUCUCAGAAUAUGCUUUUAACUCAUAAAAUGUUAAGAAUACUUGAUGGAAAGACCUAAUACUAGCCAGCCUGAGAUUUUUAUUUGUUUUUGUGGUCUACAGCUUGCUAUAAGGAUUUGUGACAGCUACUCUUGCUUUCUGAAGACUGUGCAGAACUUCAGCACAGUUGGGUGGAAUGAUUUUUAUGGUGUCACAGAACUAUUCUCAACAGACACUGGUUAAUCCAGUGUCUAUAGGAAUUUCCUAUAGGAAUUUCCUAUAGGAUCAUGUGGAGGUUGCUGUUGUUGCCUCUCCAUUUCCACAUAUGAAUGGACAGGAUAAAUAACCCAAACAGCUUUUCUUCACUCCAGGUUAAGGGUGGCUUACAUUGGUUUAUUUGGAAUCAGCCACUACCUGACUUGAGGAAGUGACAUAGAGGAAAAUGAGAGAAUCCAUACAGUGACUGGCACCAUUAUAACUAAUGUCACAGGUCCAGGAUCAGCUUAAACAGGAUAAAUGGCUGCUGCUGCUAAAAGGAGAAGCUGAUUUUUGUGGCUUCCUGCCUUACUUCUCCUCUCACAGACUUGUUUCCUCAGUUGUGCUGCCUGAAUCAUUCAGAUCAUCAUUCAUAGAAGAGAGAAAAGAUUAAAGUUUCGAACUACUUAAUUUAAAUUUGGUCCUUUUACAGAUCAAACAUAGAGGGCAGCAUUGCAAAAAGGUUGAAUUAAUAUGACCAUAUUUAAAUGAAACUUUCAUCCAUGUGCUUAGCUAGUCUGAAUAUGGCAUACCUGAAUGACUGAAGAAGAACACAGAACUUCUGUAAAUGUGGUGAUUUUUCAGUAGUGUUUGCUUGUAAACAUCUUUAGGGGCAAAAAAAAAAAAAAGAGGAUAUUGAGCCAGUUUAAUAGAUUAUCAUGACAUCCUGAGUCUCCAAGAGACAUAGAGGCCUGAAAUGAGAACACAGUGUGUGUGCAUUUUGUUAAUGUAGUUUUGCGUGGUUAAAGAUGAAAAAGAAAUAGCUGGGGGAAUUCUAGUGAGCAGUAAACUUUAUCCUAGGCAAUGACAGUGAGAAAAUAUCUGUGAAUUUGGGAUGACUUUACAGCUUGAGAUGAGUAUGUGUUUAACAUUUAUGGUGAAACUUGGCCUGGCUUAAUUCAUUUCUACUGGUGCGUAAUGGUUGCCCUGGGAACACUUAUAAACUUCCUCUUUAAGUGAAAAUCUACCAUCUUCUCUGUUAAAUCUUCCUGUUUUUACAGGAGCACAGAUUUCCAGGUGCCUGGGAUAGUUUAUCAUUUGGAAAACUGCCCUUCGUUCCUGCACAUAAAAAUUGACAAGACAAAAAUGCUUUUCUUCUCUGAGUAAACUGUGCUGAUGUUUCUCCAGUGAUACAAAAUUUCUUCCUCAGUCCCUCCUCUGGUUAUGUGUGUAUUUGUAAUAGAUUAAAUCUGUUCAGCACAACAGAUUCUAUUCUACUCACAAGAGUAAAGCCACAGACAUCUGUGGGAGAGAAACACAAUCCCUGAUCUAGGUGAAGGAACUAAAUCAUGAUGAUACACCCUCUGAUACAUGGAAGGGUUGUAUUAGCUGGGGACAGUGCUUGAGCAGCUGGGGCUGAUCCCACUGAAGCACCCCUGCCCACCAAUCCCACAGUGAUAAAUCUGUAUUACAUGCCUGUGUCUGAUGUGCUCAUAUCAAAAUUAUGGUUGCCAUCUACAAACCACGGCAAAACAUCUGGCAAGAGAAUUUGCAGCUUAGGUGCAGAGCUACAGUAAGGAAUAUUUACUCCAGCAUUCCUCUCUGGGAUGUAUUUUAGCACCCACAUAAUGAUCUGAUCCAAUGCCCACAUAUACAUGCCUGACCUUGAGUGAUUAUACAAUGAUAAUUUUAUGUGUCUUGUCUUUGCUGCCAUUUUAUUCUGAAGGAACUGCCUCCAGUUAAGCUUUUGUUUUCCCUAAAAGUACCACAACUAAGUUAACACUGCUGUGUUAACUCUUUAGGCACUGGCUGGAGUUCUGCAGAGCUGAGUUUGAAUCACAAGGAUGGGCCAGUUCUUUAGCCCUGUGUUGGAAUCAGAGUUAGUGUGCCUAGAGUAACUCCAUGCUUGAUAGUUUGACAAGGGAGAAGUGGGGAAGUGAACAGCUACUUGUCAAAGCAGUGAACUACCAACUGCCUCUACUACUUGACAAGCCUGGUCUUCAGCGUGGUUGUUUUUCUUCCUCUUGGGCUGAAUCUCUCUAUUCUCUCUCUCUCCAGUCUUGCCCCAACCAACCAACCAAAAACCCAAUCAAAAAACCGCCCACCAACCCCAAACCUCAAACAGCAGUCUUUACAUCUCUCUGAAGGAAAGUGAUCUGUAAAAUUAAGGCACACAGAUGCUUUUUGUUGACACCUAACUAUAAGUCCCACUUCAGUAACAAGAUAUAAUCUGCAACUGCUUUGAAGAUGUUGAAAUUUAAGAACAGUAAGAACUUUGAGCUAAAGACAGAACUAAAUUGUUAAGGAAGCUUUUGAUUCCAGCAGGAGCAACUACAAACUAAAAUGUUUCCUGCCUUACCAAGAAGUUUGUGACAUUGGGGAUGAAUGGGAUGUUCCUUCAUUGCAGCUUUAACACACUUCCUCACCUGAGACUCACUUGUUUCCUGUCCAAGGGGAUGCUCAGAACCAUUCUGGGAGAUCUGAGAGAAACAAGGAAAUAGUGCCAGAAGCAAUGACAGAAAAAAAAGGAGUGGAUGACCACACUGGACAUUUUGGAAGUAGCUCACAGGAGUCUUCAAAUACCUGCUCACCUUGAACUCAUUCUUUCAAUUUACUGGGAAAGAAGAUUAAUGUAAGCCUUUCAAUGCUACCAUUUUAAUGCUGUGUACCCCUCAUCCCAGUUAUCCUCUCCUGGGUGUUCCCACAUUUCUCAGGGCAGGCAGAUGUUGGUGUGUGCCUGUGCUUGCUGGAGCUCAGGGUGAGCAGGAGUUCUCAGUGCACAGAAUCACCCUGUGCCUUGUCUCUCUAGCUCUUCAUUAGCAGCUGACAGUUCUGCAGCAUUAGGAGGUUUGGGGAGGCAUCUCUAACCCUCUGCAGAUCAAAGGACCCAGAGCAAUAUCUCAUUUUAUAUGAAACAGCUCUUUCAAUGAUCCGUGCCACAUCUGUUCCCUUACAUCCACUCUGUCACAUUCCAGCUAACAGGAGACUUUUACAUAUAUUUACAUUAACGAGACAGAACGCCAAGCAUACUCAGAAAAUAUUUUGAGGGAUUUAGUAUUACAGCGUUCCCCUGAAGGGUUUUUUCCUUCUGCUUUACUGACUUUGCAUAUCUCCCUUCUCCUCCAGCUGUGAAAAGACUCCCUGUGCAUAGAUUGCCAUCUCAGAAAGUCUCAGUCUAGCAACUCUUAGUACUGGCUUGUAAUAUUAGACAAUAAGAGUCAUCUGAUGAAGAAAUUGCACUUUAAAAAAAAAAGAAAAAAAGGCAAAUCACAUGGUCUAUGUACCACUUCAGUGAUGAGUAGAAAGAGAAUGGAAAAUAGUAUAUGUUCCAAGGUGACAAAACAUGUAAUCUGUAGGUAGUACUAUUACAUGCACUGGAUAUAGUUCAUUUGUCUGUUUUACGUGAGGGACUGGAAGUGAGCUUCAAGUUGUCUGUAAAGGAGUGAUCAGCCUGAGCAUGAAAAGACUCCACCCUAGAGAUCAGUAAAACUUUGAGCUACAUCCUCCUGGCUUCUACUCCAGCUUAACUUUCUGUCUUGUACAGAGACACCUGCCUGUGAAUUUUUUACCAAAAAAAAAAAAAACAGGAGGUAGAUGCAUAAAAGAUUUGGCAACAGAGCUUAUUUUUCAGUUAGAUCACUUUCUCCCAUCUGAUUUACAGCAUAGCUUCCCAAAUACUUGAGUAGCCUGAGAGGAAGGUGAAGCAUGCUGUGGAGAUUAAAGGAAGGAGAAGAGGAAAUGGGAAUAUUUUUAGUUUUCCUGAAAGGAAAAUCAAACUUCUAGUAGGGAGUAGAGGACAGGAAAAUCUCAACCAUCUUGAAAAAUGGUCUGUUGUCAAAAAAUAAAAAAAAGGAGUGGCUUUAUUUUUUAAAAACCAGAGUCCUACUGUCAGUGUAGCUUAGUCUGUGUUUUCAUUCUCUCAGAAAUUAUGUCCAUUCCCAAGCGUCCAUUUAGCAAAAAAAAAGACUCAUUUUUGGAUACAAAGGGAGAAAAAUAAAGUGCUCUGUGUUUAUGCCAGGUUGAAUUUCUGGGUUUGCAUAGAGAUAGCUUCAGGCAACCAUUCCCCAAGUCUGGCAAUAAGCAUGCAAUCCUGUAACUGUGGCUUUUUGGAAAUGUGACAAAUUGGAGAGGGCCUAAUUUCCAAAUGAGAUGCUGUGGAAAUGUGUUGUUUUGACAGAGUAUUGUUCAGGAACAGGGACUCACCUUCAAAAAAGGAAAAUAACUUGACAGUUGUAACUCUCAGCUGGGAUCUGUGAGACCUAGGUUUGAAUUCCUACUUUUUUGGAUCUAGCUUAAGGAAUGGACUGGGACUUUCACAAAAAUCUAAUUUUAGUGACCUAACCAAAAGACUAUUAGUUAUUUCAAAACCUGUCUCUGUUCAUCUGUUUCUGCCUUCCUCUAUUUUUUGUUUUUCAGAUUCUUUUUCCUUUUUUUUAGACAAUAAUAAUAAUAAAAGAAAGAAGGUAAAGCCUUGGCUUUGUUCUGAUGCAAAGCAGGAGUGUGUUUUACAUCUCAACAUUUUCAGGACAGGGAAUCAAUUUUCUGCACAGCUCUGUCUGGAAUGUAAUUAUGGCAAUUGUAAUAUCUUUAACUUUAAUGCCUACUAUUGAUCCUGUUAUUGACCAAUGACUGCUUUUUAUUGUGUAAAUGCUGACAAAGAGACUGGUAAAAAAUAACAGUUACCAGGUGGCAUAAAUUAAUUUUUUAAAUUUUCUGA